UACGUAGGGUGCGAGCGUUGUCCGGAAUUAUUGGGCGUAAAGAGCUUGUAGGCGGUUUGUCGCGUCUGCCGUGAAAAUUCGAGGCUCAACCUCGAACUUGCGGUGGGUACGGGCAGACUAGAGUGUGGUAGGGGAGACUGGAAUUCCUGGUGUAGCGGUGAAAUGCGCAGAUAUCAGGAGGAACACCGAUGGCGAAGGCAGGUCUCUGGGCCACUAUUGACGUGAGGAGCGAAAGCAUGGGGAGCGAACAGG
rnacentral:rRNA from 1 species